rnacentral:rRNA from 1 species
UGCAGUCGAACGGCAGCACGGAGCUUGCUCUGGUGGCGAGUGGCGAACGGGUGAGUAAUAUAUCGGAACGUACCCUAGAGUGGGGGAUAACGUAGCGAAAGUUACGCUAAUACCGCAUACGAUCUAAGGAUGAAAGUGGGGGAUCGCAAGACCUCAUGCUCGUGGAGCGGCCGAUAUCUGAUUAGCUAGUUGGUAGGGUAAAAGCCUACCAAGGCAUCGAUCAGUAGCUGGUCUGAGAGGACGACCAGCCACACU